GACAAGCCCCCGGGGAGCGCAGGAGCGCUGAGAGUGCGGCCGGACACCACGUCCCACCCGCAGACCCGUGGAACCUGAUCUGGUUCAUGCCAGCGUAGGGAGCAGGGCACUGUCGUCG
rnacentral:ncRNA from 2 species